GGGAGGAUGGCCGAGUGGUUAAGGCGGUAGAUUUAAGCAACAACAUCCUGAAACUCUACUUUCGUAAGAAUCGUGGGUUCGAACCCCACUCCUCUCA
rnacentral:tRNA from 1 species